rnacentral:lncRNA from 1 species
UUAUCCCCGACUUAGGCCCCGUUUGAAUAUCCCUAAAAACAUAGUAUAGUUAAACUAUGCUACACCGGUAGAAAAAUAAUUCUAUAAAGCAUUUGGAAGAAAAAAAAAUGGCGUAAUUUUUAAAGUAUAGUUAUACUAUACUCCAAAAAAUAGAGUAAAAUUACAAUUCACCUUAACCAAAGAAAAAAAAUUUCACCAUUUUGGGCUCCCUUACUCUAAAGAUGUAUCUAAGUUCUAAAUAUUAAGUUUCAACAUAACAUUUUAAAUUUCAAUUUAAAUUUUAUAUUUCAAAUUUUAAAAUUUUAAAAUUU